rnacentral:rRNA from 1 species
GAUGAACGCUGGCGGCGUGCCUAAUACAUGCAAGUCGAGCGAACAGACGAGGAGCUUGCUCCUCUGACGUUAGCGGCGGACGGGUGAGUAACACGUGGAUAACCUACCUAUAAGACUGGGAUAACUUCGGGAAACCGGAGCUAAUACCGGAUAAUAUAUUGAACCGCAUGGUUCAAUAGUGAAAGACGGUUUUGCUGUCACUUAUAGAUGGAUCCGCGCCGCAUUAGCUAGUUGGUAAGGUAACGGCUUACCAAGGCAACGAUGCGUAGCCGACCUGAGAGGGUGAUCGGCCACACUGGAACUGAGACACGGUCCAGACGCCUACGGGAGGCAGCAGUAGGGAAUCUUCCGCAAUGGGCGAAAGCUUGACGGAGCAGCGCCGCGUGAGUGAUGAAGGUCUUCGGAUCGUAAAGCUCUGUUAUUAGGGAAGAACAAAUGUGUAAGUAACUAUGCACGUCUUGACGGUACCUAAUCAGAAAGUCACGGCUAACUACGUG